GAGUUUGAUCAUGGCUCAGAUUGAACGCUGGCGGCAGGCCUAACACAUGCAAGUCGAGCGGUAACAGAAAGUAGCUUGCUACUUUGCUGACGAGCGGCGGACGGGUGAGUAAUGCUUGGGAACAUGCCUUGAGGUGGGGGACAACAGUUGGAAACGACUGCUAAUACCGCAUAAUGUCUACGGACCAAAGGGGGCUUCGGCUCUCGCCUUUAGAUUGGCCCAAGUGGGAUUAGCUAGUUGGUGAGGUAAUGGCUCACCAAGGCAACGAUCCCUAGCUGGUUUGAGAGGAUGAUCAGCCACACUGGAACUGAGACACGGUCCAGACUCCUACGGGAGGCAGCAGUGGGGAAUAUUGCACAAUGGGCGAAAGCCUGAUGCAGCCAUGCCGCGUGUGUGAAGAAGGCCUUCGGGUUGUAAAGCACUUUCAGUCAGGAGGAAAGGGUGUGAGUUAAUACCUCAUAUCUGUGACGUUACUGACAGAAGAAGCACCGGCUAACUCCGUGCCAGCAGCCGCGGUAAUACGGAGGGUGCGAGCGUUAAUCGGAAUUACUGGGCGUAAAGCGUACGCAGGCGGUUUGUUAAGCGAGAUGUGAAAGCCCCGGGCUCAACCUGGGAACUGCAUUUCGAACUGGCAAACUAGAGUGUGAUAGAGGGUGGUAGAAUUUCAGGUGUA
rnacentral:rRNA from 1 species